rnacentral:rRNA from 1 species
CUUGAUUUAUUUCUUGAGUGUGUACUUGUUAAGCCUUAUAAGAAAAGAGUUAUUAACUUAAGGAAUUAUAACAAAGAAGUAACACGUAAUGGAUUCUUCCAUUUUUAGUGUGUAUCAAUCGAGUUUCUGACCUAUCAGCUUUUGAUGUUAGGGUAUUGGCCUAACAUGGCUAUGACGGGUAACGGGGAAUUAGAGUUCGAUUCCGGAGAGGGAGCCUGAGAAAUAGCUACCACAUCUAAGGAAGGCAGCAGGCGCGUAAAUUACCCAAUUCUAAAGAAGAGAGGUAGUGACAAGAAAUAACAAUACAAGGCCAAUCUGGCUUUGUAAUUGGAAUGAUGGGAAUUUAAAACCUUCCCAAAAUUCAAUUGGAGGGCAAGUCUGGUGCCAGCAGCCGCGGUAAUUCCAGCUCCAAUAGCGUAUAUUAAAAUUGUUGCAGUUAAAACGCUCGUAGUUGAAUUUCAAAGAAUCGAUAUUUUAAGUAACGCUUCUAGCUAUAAAUCCACAUAACUGAUGCCUCCGCGUAUCGACUUUGUGCGCAUUUUAGCUAUUAUGUGUUCUUUUAAUUAAAAUGAUUCUUUUUAAGAUUCAUCUAUUAAAAAUUUGCUUCGGCAUAAUUUUUUUUGAUGAUCUUGUUACUUUGAGUAAAUUAGAGUGUUCAAAGCAAACAGAUAUAGCAUUUGUGCGUUUGAAUACUACAGCAUGGAAUAACAAAAUUGAACAAGUCAGAAUUUUUUUGUUCUUUUUUCUUAUUUUGGCUUAGUUACGAUUAAUAGGAGUAGCUUGGGGGCAUUUGUAUUCAGAUGUCAGAGGUGAAAUUCUUAGAUUUUCUGGAGACAAACAACUGCGAAAGCAUUUGCCUAAAAUACUUCCAUUAAUCAAGAACGAAAGUUAAGGGAGUGAAGACGAUCAGAUACCGUCGUAAUCUUAACCAUAAACUAUGCCGACUAGGC